rnacentral:SRP_RNA from 1 species
GCCGGGCAUGGUGGCGUGUGCCUGUAAUCCCAACUACUGGGGGGGCUGAGGCAGGAGGAUCACUUGAACCUGGGAGGCGGAGGUUGCAGUGAGCCGAGAUCGUGCCACUGCACUCCAGCCUGGGCAACAAAGUGAGACUUUGUCUCAA